rnacentral:rRNA from 1 species
GAUGAACGCUGGCGGCGUGCCUAAUACAUGCAAGUCGAGCGAACAGACGAGGAGCUUGCUCCUCUGACGUUAGCGGCGGACGGGUGAGUAACACGUGGAUAACCUACCUAUAAGACUGGGAUAACUUCGGGAAACCGGAGCUAAUACCGGAUAAUAUAUUGAACCGCAUGGUUCAAUAGUGAAAGACGGUUUUGCUGUCACUUAUAGAUGGAUCCGCGCCGCAUUAGCUAGUUGGUAAGGUAACGGCUUACCAAGGCGACGAUGCGUAGCCGACCUGAGAGGGUGAUCGGCCACACUAGAACUGAGACACGGUCCUGACUCCUACGGGAGGCAGCAGUAGGGAAUCUUCCGCAAUGGGCGAAAGCCUGACGGAGCAACGCCGCGUGAGUGAUGAAGGUCUUCGGAUCGUAAAACUCUGUUAUUAGGGAAGAACAAAUGUGUAAGUAACUAUGCACGUCUUGACGGUACCUAAUCAGAAAGCCACGGCUAACUACGUG